UCAGGUAUAUCUUAGUUGGUAGAGCAUGAAAUUCAUAAUCUCAGGGUUGUGGGUUCGAGUCUCAUGUUGGGUGAA